GACAAGUUAUUAGACUUUCAAGUGUAUCUUCUUUAGGCUUUUUAUCCUUUUUGAACUUGUUCAAUUAUUUCAAAUACAAUUGAAAUAUAAUCCUUCAACACGUUAGCAACUCUUUUAUUGUUCUAAAAAUAUGAUUUAUUUUGUUGCUAAUGUUUGAAGUGAUUCCCUUUAAACCAAAAUGGUUUGCCAUAGUCAGCGAUAUAAUAAUAUGAACCAGUAAUUUCUUCGGUAGCCAUGGCAGAACGAAACGUCUUAAAAUUGUUGUUUUCGGGAUUUAAAAACAGUUAAAAAUAAUUUUUACAGCCACCGAAAAGAUUACUGGG
rnacentral:lncRNA from 1 species